rnacentral:rRNA from 1 species
UGUCGUCAGCUCGUGUUGUGAAAUGUUGGGUUAAGUCCCGCAACGAGCGCAACCCUUAUCCUUUGUUGCCAGCGGUCCGGCCGGGAACUCAAAGGAGACUGCCAGUGAUAAACUGGAGGAAGGUGGGGAUGACGUCAAGUCAUCAUGGCCCUUACGACCAGGGCUACACACGUGCUACAAUGGCGCAUACAAAGAGAAGCGACCUCGCGAGAGCAAGCGGACCUCAUAAAGUGCGUCGUAGUCCGGAUUGGAGUCUGCAACUCGACUCCAUGAAGUCGGAAUCGCUAGUAAUCGUGGAUCAGAAUGCCACGGUGAAUACGUUCCCGGGCCUUGUACACACCGCCCGUCACACCAUGGGAGUGGGUUGCAAAAGAAGUAGGUAGCUUAACCUUCGGGAGGGCGCUUACCACUUUGUGAUUCAUGACUGGGGUGAAGUCGUAACAAGGUAACCG